CGCUCAGAUCCAGUCCCAAGAGGCUGCCAGAGUCGCUGUUUGGGCUUCCGGUUCCGCCGGCGAAGAAGGCCAGCAUCCAUGGAGGUCGUGGGAGGGCAGAAGAUCAGUCUGAUUCGGUGCUCGGAGCUCCGCCUGUUAGGCAAGUUCUCUCUCCACAGCCAUCUGCAACUAGUGGUAUGGGAGCCUUCACAGUGCCUGCUAGUACAGGGAGAGGAAGGACUUUGGACGGUUCUUCGCCUUUUGGAUCCGCAACAUCUCAGGGUGGCUACCAUCGAUAUCGCUAUAGCAGAUGGGAUAUUCCUCCGGCCAGGGGAUAUGGAGGUUUGUGUUCCAAUAUGCAUGGGGUUAUGCGCAAUCGCGCUUGUUCCUCCACUUGGAAGCGUGACAGUGGAAAAGGUCUGCAUGUUGAUAUGGGCGAACAUAGCCCCAGAAUUCAAACCGCAAUGAAAAAACAAGAUGACUUUAGUUCCUCUGGCCAAGGCAAUACAUUGGAUCUUCGGAAUGAUCAAGUUGGAGAAAACAUGGAAUUGAAUGUUGGUAUGGAUAAGAGGGUGGCUGAAUCCUUUCCUCGGGCAGCGGCGCAUGGCCCUAACGCGCCUCGGGCGCCAUGAAAGCAAUAGCAUGGAAUUGCCGAGGUAUGGGCCGAGACCUUGGCAAUGAUCGAAUGUUGUUCCUGGCCAAUCUGGUUCGCUCUACAAAAGCUCAGAGGGGCUUCAGGAGGGCUCUGGCUUAUGUGGAAUGACGAUCUUAAGGUUUCUGUUCGUAGUUCUUCCUUCCACUUUAUCUUAGCGGAUGUAGUUCAUCUAGCCUCGGGGGUUCACUUUUGUUUGGUUUGUAUAUAUGGUGACCCCUACCAUAGGCAGACUAGUGACAUUUGGAAUCAGAUCUCCACUUUUGUGUAUGAUAACUUUGGCAAACCCAUGAUCUGUAUGGGUGAUCUUAACGAUAUUUUGUAUGA